rnacentral:rRNA from 1 species
GACGAACGCUGGCGGCGUGCUUAACACAUGCAAGUCGAGCGAACAGACGAGGAGCUUGCUCGUCUGACGUUAGCGGCGGACGGGUGAGUAACACGCGGAUACCGUACCUAUCAGACUGAGAUAACCUCGGGACACCGGCGCUAAUACCGGAGAAUAUAUUGAACCGCAUGGUUCAAUAGUGAAUGACGGUUUUGCUGUCACUUAUAGAUGGAUCCGGGCCGCAUAAGCGAGUUGGGAAGGAAAAGGCUUACCAAGGCGACGAUGCGUAUCCGACCUGAGAGGGUGAUCGGCCACACGGGAACUGAGACACGGUCCAGACACCUACGGUAGGCAGCAGUAGGGAAUCUUACGCAAUGGGCGAAAGCCUGACAGAGCAACGCGGCGUGAGUGAUGAAGGUCUUCGGAUCGUAAAGCUCUGUUAUUAGUGAAGAACAAAUGUGUAAGUAACCAUGCACGUCUUGACGGUACCUGAUCAGAAAGCCACGGCUAACUACGUG